rnacentral:rRNA from 1 species
AAGCGUAGGCGUCUUAGUAAGUCUUUAAUGAAAUAUUUCGGCUCAACCGGAAAACCGUUAAGGAAACUACUUUGAUUGAGGCAGAUAGAGGAAAGGAGAAUUCCUGGUGGAGCGGUGAAAUGCGUUGAUAUCAGGAGGAAUACCAAUGGCGAAGGCACCUUUCUGGAUCUGUUCUGACGCUAAGGCUCGAAAGCGUGGGGAGCAAAAC